rnacentral:rRNA from 1 species
GGCACUACGGUGCUGAAGCAACAAAUGCCCUGCUUCCAGGAAAAGCCUCUAAGCAUCAGGUAACAUCAAAUCGUACCCCAAACCGACACAGGUGGUCAGGUAGAGAAUACCAAGGCGCUUGAGAGAACUCGGGUGAAGGAACUAGGCAAAAUGGUGCCGUAACUUCGGGAGAAGGCACGCUGAUAUGUAGGUGAAGCGACUUGCUCGUGGAGCUGAAAUCAGUCGAAGAUACCAGCUGGCUGCAACUGUUUAUUAAAAACACAGCACUGUGCAAACACGAAAGUGGACGUAUACGGUGUGACGCCUGCCCGGUGCCGGAAGGUUAAUUGAUGGGGUUAGCGGUAACGCGAAGCUCUUGAUCGAAGCCCCGGUAAACGGCGGCCGUAACUAUAACGGUCCUAAGGUAGCGAAAUUCCUUGUCGGGUAAGUUCCGACCUGCACGAAUGGCGUAAUGAUGGCCAGGCUGUCUCCACCCGAGACUCAGUGAAAUUGAACUCGCUGUGAAGAUGCAGUGUACCCGCGGCAAGACGGAAAGACCCCGUGAACCUUUACUAUAGCUUGACACUGAACAUUGAGCCUUGAUGUGUAGGAUAGGUGGGAGGCUUUGAAGUGUGGACGCCAGUCUGCAUGGAGCCGACCUUGAAAUACCACCCUUUAAUGUUUGAUGUUCUAACGUUGGCCCGUUAUCCGGGUUGCGGACAGUGUCUGGUGGGUAGUUUGACUGGGGCGGUCUCCUCCUAAAGAGUAACGGAGGAGCACGAAGGUUGGCUAAUCCUGGUCGGACAUCAGGAGGUUAGUGCAAUGGCAUAAGCCAGCUUGACUGCGAGCGUGACGGCGCGAGCAGGUGCGAAAGCAGGUCAUAGUGAUCCGGUGGUUCUGAAUGGAAGGGCCAUCGCUCAACGGAUAAAAGGUACUCCGGGGAUAACAGGCUGAUACCGCCCAAGAGUUCAUAUCGACGGCGGUGUUUGGCACCUCGAUGUCGGCUCAUCACAUCCUGGGGCUGAAGUAGGUCCCAAGGGUAUGGCUGUUCGCCAUUUAAAGUGGUACGCGAGCUGGGUUUAGAACGUCGUGAGACAGUUCGGUCCCUAUCUGCCGUGGGCGCUGGAGAACUGAGGGGGGCUGCUCCUAGUACGAGAGGACCGGAGUGGACGCAUCACUGGUGUUCGGGUUGUCAUGCCAAUGGCACUGCCCGGUAGCUAAAUGCGGAAGAGAUAAGUGCUGAAAGCAUCUAAGCACGAAACUUGCCCCGAGAUGAGUUCUCCCUGACUCCUUGAGAGUCCUGAAGGAACGUUGAAGACGACGACGUUGAUAGGCCGGGUGUGUAAGCGCAGCGAUGCGUUGAGCUAACCGGUACUAAUGAACCGUGAGGCUUAACCUU